UACGGAGGAUCCAAGCGUUAUCCGGAAUCAUUGGGUUUAAAGGGUCCGUAGGCGGUUUGGUAAGUCAGUGGUGAAAGCCCAUCGCUCAACGGUGGAACGGCCAUUGAUACUGCUAGACUUGAAUUAUUAGGAAGUAACUAGAAUAUGUAGUGUAGCGGUGAAAUGCUUAGAGAUUACAUGGAAUACCAAUUGCGAGGGCAGGUUACUACUAAUGGAUUGACGCUGAUGGACGAAAGCGUGGGUAGCGAACAGG
rnacentral:rRNA from 1 species